GACGAACGCUGGCGGCGUGCUUAACACAUGCAAGUCGAACGGAAAGGCCCUGCUUUUGUGGGGUGCUCGAGUGGCGAACGGGUGAGUAACACGUGAGUAACCUGCCCUUGACUUUGGGAUAACUUCAGGAAACUGGGGCUAAUACCGGAUAGGAGCUCCUGCUGCAUGGUGGGGGUUGGAAAGUUUCGGCGGUUGGGGAUGGACUCGCGGCUUAUCAGCUUGUUGGUGGGGUAGUGGCUUACCAAGGCUUUGACGGGUAGCCGGCCUGAGAGGGUGACCGGCCACAUUGGGACUGAGAUACGACCCAGACUCCUACGGGAGGCAGCAGUGGAGAAUAUUGCACAAUGGGCGGAAGCCUGAUGCAGCAACGCCACGUGCGGGAUGACGGCCUUCGGGUUGUAAACCGCUUUCGCCUGUGACGAAGCGUGAGUGACGGUAAUGGGUAAAGAAGCACCGGCUAACUACGUG
rnacentral:rRNA from 1 species